UCCCAGUUAAUCUGGGCAGUCUGAUUUGAGUGCUCGGAAUGAACCGGUGGCAACAAAUCACAAGGGUUGCGCUCGUUGCGGGACUUAACCCAACAUCUCACGACACGAGCUGACGACAGCCAUGCAGCACCUGUGGAAAGCGCGUGUUUCCACGCUACCCGGCUUUCACCGGGGUUACAAUCCAUGUCAAGCCCAGGUAAGGUUCUUCGCGUUGCAUCGAAUUAAGCCACAUACUCCACCGCUUGUGCGGGUCCCCGUCAAUUUCUUUGAGUUUUAGUCUUGCGACCGUACUACCCAGGCGGCACGUUUAACGCGUUAGCUCCGGCACAGGGAGGGUUGCUCCCCACACCUAGCGCCCACCGUUUACGGCGUGGACUAC
rnacentral:misc_RNA from 1 species